UCCUUUUUAGAUACAAAGAAAAACAACAAGAGAAACUUCCCUCUGAGAAAGCAAACUCUUUGACCUAUUUUCCAUUGAGAAAUAUAAAUUUGCAAGAAUACUUCAAGGGAUUGCUCAGUGUUCACGAGACAAAAAAUGAUGGAGAAACCGCAAGAUUAGAUCACAUAAGGGACAAUCAAGCCACCACAGGCCGGUGGGAACACUAUGCGACACAGGUCAUGAAAACUGGCAGGCGAUAUUAGAGAAUAUUUGCGUAUUUGCAUACUGAAGAAGAGAGGAGGUGGCACUCCCGGAGCAAGGCCACAUUGCUUGAGUCCACUGAAGAAGAGGAUGUGCGAUUGUGACAUGGAUUUCUGAUUUGAAAAGAGCAGCUUUGAAUUAUAUGAAAUAACUCUUGAGUUGGACAUUUUACCAUAGCCUUUGGAACAUCUGCACGCAACAGAUUUUUGAAAGAUUUUUAAAUAAAGGGAAUGUCCUGAUUUUUUUCCUGUAUCCCUACUUUUCAAAAAAUGCCAGUGAUAGAAUAGAUUUUGAGGGUACCAGGUGUUCACUACAUUCUGAGCAAACAGUGGCUCUGAGCUUUUCUUUUCAAUUGAAGUGUUUCUAUCUUGCUA